ACUUUAUGAUCACAGAGUCAAUGGGAGAGAUUUGCUCUUUGGACCACAGCGCCCAUGUAGAAGAUGUAAGAGAGGAUCUGGGUGGAGUAGCGGAAUCUUUUACAGAGGCAGUCAAAGUGGAGAACACCCCAGCUGGCUCAGAAUGCC